GACGAACGCUGGCGGCGUGCCUAACACAUGCAAGUCGAACGAAGUAUAUUUUUCGGAAUGUACUUACGUGGCGGACGGGUGAGUAACGCGUGAACCAUCUGCCCUAUACAAGGAAUAGCCUCGGGAAACUGGGAUUAAAACCGUAUAACUCUUUUUGAUCGCGUGAUUAUAAAUUCAAAUUGAUUAAGAUGUAUAAGAUGAGUUCGCGUCUGAUUAUCUAUGUGGAGAGGUAAUGGCUCACCAAGGAGACUAUCAGUACCCGGCCUGAGAGGGUGAACGGCCACACUGGAACUGAGACACGGUCCAUACUCCUACGGGAGGCAGCAGUGGGGAAUAUUGCACAAUGGGCGAAAGCCUGAUGCAGCGACGCCGCGUGAGUGAAGAAGGUCUUCGGAUCGUAAAACUCUGUCCUUGGGGACGAAAAAAUGACGGUACCCGAGGAGGAAGCCCCGGCUAACUACCUGCCACCACCCGCGGUAAUACGUGGGGAGCGAGCGUUGUCCGGAUUUACUGGGCGUAAAGGGUGAGUAGGCGGUUAUUUGAGUCGUAUGUUAAACGAUAUGGCUCAGCUAUCUGAAUCAUUUGAAGCUGGAUGACUUGGGUGCAGGAGAGGUAGGUGGAAUUCCUAUUGUAGCGGUGAGAUGCGUAGAUAUUAAGAGGAACACCGGUGGCGAAGGCUACUUACUGGACUGCUACUGACGCUGAGUCACGAAAUCGUGAGUAGCAAACAUGAUUAGAUACGCUGGUACUCCACGCUGUCGACGAUGACUGCUAGGUGUUGGCUAGCGAUAGUCGUGCCGACGUAGACACAAUAAGCACUCCGCCUGGAGAGUAC
rnacentral:rRNA from 1 species